GUUAGAGCAGCCGUUACAACAGCCGUUACGGGUCCGCUCCCUCAGCAGUCAGCCGGGCAGUGCUUUGGGGGCCGUGAGCGUAGUGAGAAGCAACCAAGGCCUUCUGCCCUGGCCUUCCAGAUCCUCAGGGCCAGCAGAUGUUGAGUGAUGGCUUCAUUGGACACUUUUGGAGGGUCCACCUAGAUUCUUUUAAAGAUCUUCAUUUAGGAGCAUUCCAGGGAACCCUGAGGCCAACAGGUGACUGAAACUCUUCCAGAAGUAAUGAUGCAGGAAGAUUGGUGGUUUGGGGAUAACAAUUUUGAGAGGAUUGCAGAAAGGGCAUCCCAGAAACAAAGGGACAAGUGACCAGUGAGAGUAUAGAGAUGAGGAAAGUAAAGUCCGAAGAAGCUAAAAACAUCAGCUAACAAUCACAGAGUUAGCAAUUGGAACAAGUUCAUCGUACCUUCCUCUUCUCAGACUUCUGUUCUUGCUCUGUAACUCCAGUCAAGCUGCUGCUGCUAAGUCGCUUCAGUCGUGUCCGACUCUGUGCGACCCCAUAGACGGCAGCCCACCAGGCUCCCCCGUCCCUGGGAUUCUCCAGGCAAGAACACUGGAGUGGGUUGCCAUUUCCUUCUCCAAUGCAUGAAAGUGAAAAGUGAAAGUGAAUUCGCUCAGUCGUGUCCGACUCUUAGUGACCCCAUGGACUGCAGCCUACCAGGCUCCUCCGUUGAUAAAUUGUGGCCCUCUUGGGUAUUUGCAUCAUGUGGCCUGUUUUCACCUUGGGCACUUUUCAUUUACGGCAGACCUUCAUAUGAGGCAAAACCUCAUCCUGCCCGAACUCAGAUGGGAAAGCCCAGUUAGAACCUCAGUUUUAUCACCUGGGCAGAAUGGUGGAGGCUGGAGGAAGCUGUAGCUGGUGGGUCUGUGGAUCCUCAGGGCUUGAGAGCAGAUUCACCAGACAUUCGACCUGCAACAGCGUACCAACUCCAAGUGCCAGCUCUCACUCUCACAGUCGAGUUACCAGAGUCCACAGUGCUUGGGUGGUCUCUGGGGCUGAGACUGAACUGCAAGGGCUAGAGAAGGACAACUCUCACAUUCUUCACUUAAGAGAGAACCAGGCAAAGUUAGACAGGCAACUGUGGUAUGUAGGUUGGACAGUCCUUUUUUUUGCUACUUUUCUGCUUAUGUUUCCAUUCCUAAGCCCUCUCUUUUGUGUUGAAGCCCCCCUCCUUCAGGUUUUUAUUAACUUUGUUUCUAUAAGGCAAGUAAUUUAACCUCUGUUAUCUUCAGUUAAGUAUUUUAAAAUAUAAAUAUCAUACAUUGGUUGUGAGGAUUAAGAUAUACUGAUUGCCAAAUUAGUCUCAAUACACAUUAGUUCUUCCUUCCAUUCUCACAGGCCAUAUAUUAAAUGCCAUUUGUACCAUUAUCUACCGUCUCCCACCUUAACAAGAUAGUAAUGAUAAUAAUUUAUACAUAGUUUCCUAAAAGUUGUUCUAUCCUUACCCUAUUAUCUCAGCUGAUUUUCCAACAAUCCAUUGAAGUGGCUAGCAAAAUAUUCUCUUUGAAAAUUUCAGUUAAAUAGUAACAUUUAAUAGUAACAGUAAUAGUCAUUGGGCUUCCCUGGUGCCUCAGAUGGUAAGGAUCUGCCUGUAAUUCAGGAGAGCAUGUUCG